UGAGGGAUGGAGGCCUUCGGGUUGUAAACCUCUUUUAUCGGGGAGCAAGCGAGAGUGAGUUUACCCGUUGAAUAAGCACCGGCUAACUACGUGCCAGCAGCCGCGGUAAUACGUAGGGUGCAAGCGUUAUCCGGAAUUAUUGGGCGUAAAGGGCUCGUAGGCGGUUCGUCGCGUCCGGUGUGAAAGUCCAUCGCUUAACGGUGGAUCCGCGCCGGGUACGGGCGGGCUUGAGUGCGGUAGGGGAGACUGGAAUUCCCGGUGUAACGGUGGAAUGUGUAGAUAUCGGGAAGAACACCAAUGGCGAAGGCAGGUCUCUGGGCCGUUACUGACGCUGAGGAGCGAAAGCGUGGGGAGCGAACAGGAUUAGAUACCCUGGUAGUCCACGCCGUAAACGGUGGAUGCUGGAUGUGGGGCCCGUUCCACGGGUUCCGUGUCGGAGCUAACGCGUUAAGCAUCCCGCCUGGGGAGUACGGCCGCAAGGCUAAAACUCAAAGAAAUUGACGGGGGCCCGCACAAGCGGCGGAGCAUGCGGAUUAAUUCGAUGCAACGCGAAGAACCUUACCUGGGCUUGACAUGUUCCCGACGGUCGUAGAGAUACGGCUUCCCUUCGGGGCGGGUUCACAGGUGGUGCAUGGUCGUCGUCAGCUCGUGUCGUGAGAUGUUGGGUUAAGUCCCGCAACGAGCGCAACCCUCGCCCCGUGUUGCCAGCGGAUUAU
rnacentral:rRNA from 1 species